rnacentral:miRNA from 1 species
UUCCAGUCAAUGAGGAAGCUCAACCUCAUUGAUCGGAAGGGAUUCCUUCCAGUCAAUGAGGAAGCUAUACUUAAUUGACUGGAAGGAAUCCCUUCCAGUCAAUGAGGUUUAGCUUCCUCAUCAACCGGAA